rnacentral:rRNA from 1 species
GACGAACGCUGGCGGCGUGCUUAACACAUGCAAGUCGAACGGAAAGGCCCUGCUUUUGUGGGGUGCUCGAGUGGCGAACGGGUGAGUAACACGUGAGUAACCUGCCCUUGACUUUGGGAUAACUUCAGGAAACUGGGGCUAAUACCGGAUAGGAGCUCCUGCUGCGUGGUGGGGGUUGGAAAGUUUCGGCGGUUGGGGAUGGACUCGCGGCUUAUCAGCUUGUUGGUGGGGUAGUGGCUUACCAAGGCUUUGACGGGUAGCCGGCCUGAGAGGGUGACCGGCCACAUUGGGACUGAGAUACGGCCCAGACUCCUACGGGAGGCAGCAGUGGGGAAUAUUGCGCAAUGGGCGGAAGCCUGAUGCAGCAACGCCGCGUGCGGGAUGACGGCCUUCGGGUUGUAAACCGCUUUCGCCUGUGACGAAGCGUGAGUGACGGUAAUGGGUAAAGAAGCACCGGCUAACUACGUG